rnacentral:rRNA from 1 species
UCAAGAAACUUCCACAAUGGGCGAAAGCCUGAUGGAGCGACGUCGCGUGAUGGAUGAAGUGCUUCGGCACGUAAACAUCUUUUUAUGUGGGAUGAAAUUAUUGACAGUACCACAUGAAUAAGGGGCUCCUAACUCUGUGCCAGCAGGAGCGGUAAUACAGAGGCCCCAAGCGUUAUCCGGAAUCACUGGGCGUAAAGGGUGUCGAGGCGGUUGUAUUAGUCGUUCGUAAAAUCUACGAGCUUAACUUGUAGGCGGCGAACGAAACGGUACGACUUGAGGUUUGGAGAGGUGCGUGGAACUCACGGUGUAGGGGUGAAAUCCGUUGAUAUCGUGGGGAACACCAAAGGCGAAGGCAGCGCACUGGCCAAAAUCUGACGCUCACACACGAAAGCUAGGGUAGCGAAGAGGAUUAGAUACCCGCGUAGUCCCUGAGCGGGCUGGCAAGGCGCAU